CUCUUUUUUUUUUUUUUUUAACUCAGUAUCUUUAAGCAAAGCCAAGGUCAACCAUCAGGUGCAGUUUGAGAGUAGUAAAGGCAUUUAAAUUUAUGAUAGGCAGAAUUUAUCAAUGCCAAGAGAACUGCUUCAUAAUUCAAACCUUUCAGCCAAACUCUUUGUUGUUGAGCCAAAUCAUAAUUUGACUUGACUGGAAUAUUUCAAGCUCGUAGAAUUGUCCAUCUCUAGGUGCAUUUAGGCAAUAUUCUUCUUUUAACUAUAUUUAGUAGCAGUUCCUGCAAGUCCUCAUGAGGGUCACCUACUCAUGAUUAUGGUACUAAAUUUGAUGGGGCCACCAUCCUUAAAGUACCAUUUAAUUGAUUUUGUAGACUCUUGGCAUUUCUAGAUGUACGGAGUGACUUCUUCUAAUGUCUAAACCGCAUUAUUUAGUCUUUUGUGAAAAGGAAAUAGAGCAAAAGAGUUACAGGUGGUCUUCAAAAUUAAAAUUAAAAAGGAAAAACUAAUCUUCAAACAACCAGAAGAGG
rnacentral:misc_RNA from 1 species